GACGAACGCUGGCGGCGUGCCUAAUACAUGCAAGUUGAGCGAUGAAGAUUGGUGCUUGCACCAAUUUGAAGAGCAGCGAACGGGUGAGUAACGCGUGGGGAAUCUGCCUUUGAGCGGGGGACAACAUUUGGAAACGAGUGCUAAUACCGCAUAACAACUUUAAACAUAAGUUUUAAGUUUGAAAGAUGCAAUUGCAUCACUCAAAGAUGAUCCCGCGUUGUAUUAGCUAGUUGGUGAGGUAAAGGCUCACCAAGGCGAUGAUACAUAGCCGACCUGAGAGGGUGAUCGGCCACAUUGGGACUGAGACACGGCCCAAACGCCUACGGGAGGCAGCAGUAGGGAAUCUUCGGCAAUGGACGAAAGUCUGACCGAGCAACGCCGCGUGAGUGAAGAAGGUUUUCGGAUCGUAAAACUCUGUUGGUAGAGAAGAACGUUGGUGAGAGUGGAAAGCUCAUCAAGUGACGGUAACUACCCAGAAAGGGACGGCUAACUACGUG
rnacentral:rRNA from 1 species